UCGUCGCACCAGUUUCUCAAUAGACUACACGAUUAGUGAAACGUAUGUAGAUAAGAGGCACUUUUGCAUUGAAAAAAAAAUAAGUAGAACACAUAAUUGUCCGAGUUGUCAUUAUGAUUUAUUGUCAUUACAAAGAGUCUUAAUUACAACCCCCUAAUAAUGUAUUCGUCACCACUGUUGCCUCUGGUCAGCCCCGCUUCGUGUAAUAUCGGAGCCAGCAUUAUAUAGAUAAGAGGCCAGGCAGCAAAUGCUCAAAAGCACCCCUACCGACAGUCAGAAAAAUACGACAUGAACAAUAGCCACAUUGCAGCAUUUCAUAUAACAAUUCGGCAUGAAAUACAUAACUAUGCAAUAUGUUACUGAAAGCACUGAAAAAUUACGAUACCAGACCUAAAAGCAACGCUACCAAUAUAAUCAGUGCAAUUUGUAGUCAACAUGUAUGCUUAAAGAACAAUUCUAAUCAUU